rnacentral:rRNA from 1 species
CCUACGAGUGGCAGCAGUGGGGAAUAUUGGACAAUGGGCGAAAGCCUGAUCCAGCCAUGCCGCGUGUGUGAAGAAGGCCUUCGGGUUGUAAAGCACUUUCAGUGGGGAAGAAAGCCUUGGGGCUAAUACCCUCGAGGAAGGACAUCACCCACAGAAGAAGCACCGGCUAACUCCGUGCCAGCAGCCGCGGUAAUACGGAGGGUGCGAGCGUUAAUCGGAAUUACUGGGCGUAAAGCGCGCGUAGGCGGUCUGAUAAGCCGGUUGUGAAAGCCCCGGGCUCAACCUGGGAACGGCAUCCGGAACUGUCAGGCUAGAGUGCAGGAGAGGAAGGUAGAAUUCCCGGUGUAGCGGUGAAAUGCGUAGAGAUCGGGAGGAAUACCAGUGGCGAAGGCGGCCUUCUGGACUGACACUGACGCUGAGGUGCGAAAGCGUGGGUAGCAAACAGGAUUAGAUACCCGUGUAGUC